rnacentral:tRNA from 1 species
GUCGAUAUGUCCGAGUGGUCAACAAAACAGACUUGAAAUCUGUUGCAGGUUCAAAUCCUGCUGCUGACA